rnacentral:rRNA from 1 species
ACACAUGCAAGUCGAGGGGUAUUAGUUUUCGGACUAAGAGACCGGCGCACGGGUGCGUAACGCGUAUGCAAUCUACCUUUUACAGAGGGAUAGCCCAGAGAAAUUUGGAUUAAUACCUCAUAGUAUAGCAGUUUCGCAUGAAACCACUAUUAAAGUCACAACGGUAAAAGAUGAGCAUGCGUCCCAUUAGCUAGUUGGUAAGGUAACGGCUUACCAAGGCUACGAUGGGUAGGGGUCCUGAGAGGGAGAUCCCCCACACUGGUACUGAGACACGGACCAGACUCCUACGGGAGGCAGCAGUGAGGAAUAUUGGACAAUGGGCGCAAGCCUGAUCCAGCCAUGCCGCGUGCAGGAUGACGGUCCUAUGGAUUGUAAACUGCUUUUGUACGAGAAGAAACACUCCUAUGUAUAGGAGCUUGACGGUAUCGUAAGAAUAAGGAUCGGCUAACUCCGUGCCAGCAGCCGCGGUAAUACGGAGGAUCCAAGCGUUAUCCGGAAUCAUUGGGUUUAAAGGGUCCGUAGGCGGUUUAGUAAGUCAGUGGUGAAAGCCCAUCGCUCAACGGUGGAACGGCCAUUGAUACUGCUGAACUUGAAUUAUUAGGAAGUAACUAGAAUAUGUAGUGUAGCGGUGAAUGCUUAGAGAUUACAUGGAAUACCAAUUGCGAAGGCAGGU